AUUGAACGCUGGCGGCAGGCCUAACACAUGCAAGUCGAACGGUAACAGGAAACAGCUUGCUGUUUCGCUGACGAGUGGCGGACGGGUGAGCAAUGUCUGGGAAACUGCCUGAUGGAGGGGGAUAACUACUGGAAACGGUAGCUAAUACCGCAUAACGUCGCAAGACCAAAGAGGGGGACCCUCGGGCCUCUUGCCAUCGGAUGUGCCCAGAUGGGAUUAGCUUGUUGGUGGGGUAACGGCUCACCAAGGCGACGAUCCCUAGCUGGUCUGAGAGGAUGACCAGCCACACUGGAACUGAGACACGGUCCAGACUCCUACGGGAGGCAGCAGUGGGGAAUAUUGCACAAUGGGCGCAAGCCUGAUGCAGCCAUGCCGCGUGUAUGAAGAAGGCCUUCGGGUUGUAAAGUACUUUCAGCGGGGAGGAAGGGAGUAAAGUUAAUACCUUUGCUCAUUGACGUUACCCGCAGAAGAAGCACCGGCUAACUCCGUG
rnacentral:rRNA from 1 species